AUAUUUUGGUUUCAUUUAUUUUUCAUGGAUGGUAGAAGAGUCAAAUACUAUUAAAAAGUUGAAGUAUUAGCAGCAAAAGGUCAAAGAGUCUUGACAUAACAUUAUCACAACCUCACACAGGUCUAAGUAAAACACUAAGCAGAGAUAUGUACACACAUACACACAAGUUCAACAAAACAUACGCAAAUAUAUUAUUUAGUGCUAGCAUGGUUACUGAGAAGUGAACCAGGCAACACUGAAUAUCUGGUGAGGAGUAGUUUAACUUUGUGUAGAUCUAAUUCAAUCUAAUUCACUGAAGGAUCGUUAAGUUUAGUAGCAUUGGCAACACAUAGGCCUACUAUCUGUGGAAAACUCAACAUCAGGAAGUAAAAUAAAGCUGGAGAGCACGAGUGCCCUACAGCAUCCUUUAGAGCAAAUAAACUUGAACUUGCUUACACUGAGCUCAAGUGUUUUCUGUAACAUUACUACAGCAAUGUUUCAGGCAUUAACUUUCUAUAGCAGCUGUCACAUCCUAGUGGCAGUUCCAGACAUUGGGGGGGGGGGGGGGGGGG